GUGGGAGCGAGCUUGCUCGCAAAUACGGUGUGUCAGUCACCUUACUCAGUUCCUGACACACCGUAUUUGCGAGCAAGCUCGCUCCCAC
rnacentral:antisense_RNA from 1 species